GGGGUUGGAGCUCAAUGGUAGAGCGCUUGCCUAGAAAGCAUGAGGCACUGGGUUCGAUCCCCGGCACCACA
rnacentral:tRNA from 1 species